GUGUUUGAUAAUGGAAUAGUUUUAUUUUUCACGAAUCCAUACGAGCUAAUUUCUAACCUAUAUUAGUUGAUAAUUAAUACUGUAGCAUUAUUAUUAUAAUAUUAGAAAUUAGGGGUGAAAGACUUAUCAAGUUUGGGGAUAUCUUGAUAACAAAGAAAUAUAUUUAGUAUAUCAAACAACCUAAAAAUGAUUAGGUUUUUAGGGCUCAUUAUAAUAGUUGUACCCUAUAUAGUGUUAUUAAUCUAUACUAUAUAAAUUUUUAUAUUAUAGAUUUCUUAUUUUAUAUGAUACUUACUUGUUAAAUAUAGCUAAUCCUAAAUAUAUUAACUAAUGAAUACAUAAGUAUUGACAUUAUUUUUUACUUAGGAACUCGGCAAAUAGUAGUUCUCGACUGUUUAUCAAAAACAUUGCCUAAAGGUUCGAUUUUAGGUAAGCCCUGCUCAAUGAUACUAUUAAAUAGCCGCAGUACCCUGACUGUGCAAAGGUAGCAUAAUAAAUUGGCUUAUAAUUGAAGUCUAGUAUGAAUGGGAUUAACGGGGACUAACUGUCUUAAUAAAAUAUAGUAGAACUUACUAAUCAAGUGAAAAUUCUUGAAAAUAGAUAAAAGACGAGAAGACCCUAGAAAUUUUUUACAAUGUACUAAAUCUAUUUUGUUGGGGCGACAUGGUAACACGAUAAACUUACCAUCAUAAUUUGACUUUAUUGAGGAGUAUAACCAAAUUACUCUAGGGAUAACAGCAUAAUAUUCAAAAGUUUGUGACCUCGAUGUUGGACUAGGAACUGCUUUAUCCAGAAGAUAAAGUAUUCGGCUCUGUUCGAGCUAAGUUUCCUACAUGAUCUGAGUUCAGACCGG
rnacentral:rRNA from 1 species